GAGCCUGGAGUCCAGUGGUACUAGAAGGAAACCACAGCACAGCUGGAAGAGGCAGAAUGUGAGAAAUCCAUGGAUACAGGCGCUGACAUUCCCUACAGUGAAGAGGGCAUCCAGACAUGCUGGAAGAAGAUCACAGCCCCAUUUUCUACAAUUCCUAGUUCCUGCCUGAUCAUUCUCAUUAGCUGCUCCUUUCCCAGGACCUCCUCCAGCUAUGUACCCCUUCCUCCUCCAAUCUCUCCAGGCCUUCCUUCCUUAUCUCUGCAGCCCCUUCCUGCUCAUGUCCUGCUGGCAGCCCUAGCUGGCUCCUCCAGCUAAUCCCUUCAGCUGAUGACUGAGUGACUUCCUCAAGAUCUCCUGGCUAUAGCAGGACCCAUGGAGCAACCGGAGAGCAAGAAGUCUGUGCAGCUCAAUGGGUGUAGUUGAAAGAAAUCAAUUACCUGCAUGCAACAUUAACAUUUCCUUCCCACUCUGGCAUGAUUGCCUUUGGUGGAGGUGCCCCCAAGAACAACCAACUGCAGAGCACAAGUCAAACAUAUUUCAGGCCUGCCCACCAGCUUCUCAUGCAGCAUGGUUCUUUCUCUUGGCAGUGAGGCCUGUGACUGCCAGUGAACAUGAAGAUACCUCUUGGUCCUGCACACAGCAGGAGGGAUUCCAAUUCAUACCAGCCAGUGGACAUUCUUCCAGGCCUCAACCUGGUUUGUACAAGUGGUUGACCUUCUUACAUGGCUUCCUGCAGCCCAAGCUCCACUGAGCAUCUCACUGGAGAAGAACCAGAUCAGCUAACCAGACAGGAAUGAACUCUACUGCAGCUGAAUAUAAAACACAGCACAAUCAAAAAGAGAAGAGGCAGAAUGAGAGCAAUCCCUGGAUACAGAAUGUCCUGCAAAGUAAUGUGUGGGCAUGGUACUGCAAUGCUGACAUUUCCUAUGGAGGAGAAGCGUUUCAGGCAUGCUGAAAAUAGAACCAUCUUGAGAAAGGGAUCGUGCAGCUGCCUGUUCUCUGCCAGCCCUUAAGAUACGACUUCUCCACAGUUGGGCUCUAAGGUUUCCUGGUACAAUCCCAAGAACUUCUGAGAUACAUUGUGGAGAUUUGACUUAUCCACUAGGUCAUCUGCUCAACAGGCAAUAAAGUCCUAGUUUACAGAUUCAUCUCAUAAAGAAAUGUUCAAUAUUAGGAACUUCUAAUUUGAAGUCGUAUCAUUCCUUGAAUUAAAAAACUGUGAUUCUU